rnacentral:rRNA from 1 species
AUUGAACGCUGGCGGCAUGCCUUACACAUGCAAGUCGAACGGCAGCACGGGGCAACCUGGUGGCGAGUGGCGAACGGGUGAGUAAUGUAUCGGAACGUGCCAUUGAGUGGGGGAUAACGUAGCGAAAGUUACGCUAAUACCGCAUAUCCCCUGAGGGGGACAGCAGGGGAUCGCAAGACCUUGUGCUCUUUGAGCGGCCGAUAUCAGAUUAGCUAGUUGGUGAGGUAAAGGCUCACCAAGGCGACGAUCUGUAGCGGGUCUGAGAGGAUGAUCCGCCACACUGGGACUGAGACACGGCCCAGACUCCUACGGGAGGCAGCAGUGGGGAAUUUUGGACAAUGGGCGCAAGCCUGAUCCAGCCAUGCCGCGGGAGUGAAGAAGGCCUUCGGGUUGUAAAGCUCUUUCGGCCGGGAAGAAAUCGUACAGGUUAAUACCCUGUGUGGAUGACGGUACCGGAAUAAGAAGCACCGGCUAACUACGUGCCAGCCGCCGCGGUAAAAC